rnacentral:rRNA from 1 species
AUUGAACGCUGGCGGCAGGCCUAACACAUGCAAGUCGAACGAGUGGCGGACGGGUGAGCAAUUUCUGGGAAACUGCCUGAUGGAGGGGGAUAACUAGUGGAAACGGUAGCUAAUACCGCUUACCAUCAGAUGGGCCCAGAUGGGAUUAGCUAGUUGGUGGGGUAACGGCUCACAAAGGCGACGAUACCUAGCUGGUCUGAGAGGCUGACCAGCAGCACUGGAACUGAGACACGGUCCAGACGCCUACGGGAGGCAGCAGUGGGGAAUAUUGCGCAAUGGGCGAAAGCCGGAUGCAGCCAUGCCGCGUGUAUGAAGAAGGCCUUCGGGUUGUAAAGUACUUUCAGCGGGGAGGCGUUACCCGCAGAAGAAGCACCGGCUAACUACGUGCCAGCAGCCGCGGUAAUAC